rnacentral:misc_RNA from 1 species
GCAUGUCUGUUUGAGUGCCGCAUACCUCUAUGCAGUAAUGUGUAUUGACGGCUGUCCCCGGACUCUGUCUAAACAUAGCCAGUUAGUCGUGGGUUGCGACCAGCCCGAGUGCUAAGCAUUCUUGGCCUGGCCGUAGCUACGAUCAGCGAUGCUAUUUUUACUUUGGCCUCAAAUCAGGCAGGACUACCCGCUGAACUUAA